AGGGAAGUGGCCCAGCUCUGUCCAGAAGGAGGGCUUGAUGGCAGAGGAAUCCAUGGCACGGCAAAGGCACAACCCCUUAUUGGUUGUGUCAGGGAUCCUGGCAUGUUUCAUCAGGGACUCCGCACACUGGACGUUCCAUCCUCCAUGGAGUGCUCAGGGAGGGGGGCGAGAAUGGCCCCUGCGGCCCACCCGGGAGAGAUCACAUUCAAGGACGCUUCUGCCAAAAUACUCUUUCUAAUGUUUGUUUAUUUUUGAGAGAGAGACUGUAAAAACAUUCAUGUAAACUUGCCUUUCCCGUCUUUGGAAAUCUCGUUGUGAGCAAUGCAGUUGAGUCCUUCCAACUAAGCAAUCAGGGGGAUGGAUGGCUGGCCCUGGGGAAGGCUCAGCUUCAGAGGAGGAGGGAGUAAGGAUGUACACUUUUCCCCCCUUAAACUCUGCCCAAUUUCAAAACUGCGCCUCUAGAAACACCUGCCGUCAUGCCGGUCGUGACCAUCAUCACAGUAGCUGAGGGGUAUUGGCGGUUCAGUCAGAGGCGGUGGACCGAGCUUUCCUGCCGCAGGAGAUGGUCAGCGCUGCACGAGUCAGGGUCUGUGGGGAGGGGUAUGGUUUGCUCGUGGAGUCCGUGGGAACAGCGAAGGGGUGACCAGCCAACAGCUGGAGCCGCGUGGGACGAGGGGACCCCGUCGGGCACCUGUAGCUGCACCUCGCAAACCCAGCCUGUGCAAACGUCACUUAUUCAAGUAGCCACGGUGGUCCAAAGCAGUGUCGAUCCUGCUGGAAGUGGAGGGUGUUCCCCUGCGAAGCCGACGGGCUCCCUCACGCGUAGGUCAUGUUUUUAAAAGAACAGAAUUGCCAAAUCUCCCCGACGUGGCGGCUUUCGACUUUUCACAGUGCCACGAUGGUGAUCUGAACCCUUCUGUGAGUUAUUUGCGAUGCUUCCCGCAGCUUAAUAGAAACCAAACAUUUACAAAUAAUAAGGCCACAGAGGCUCACUGAAAUGGCCUGUUUCUUUUCACGAGCCUGGGACCUCGCCAGCCUGACGCUGUUUUUAUCUGCGUUUACUGCUGACGUAUCAGUCAAGGUUUAGCCGGUCCUUAGCAGAGCCAGUCCUUCCAGAAGCUUCUCUGCCUACUGGUCCUCAUCCACAAGAGACUCGUGGCUACAUCAGGAGAAGGCGAGCAAAAGGAUCCAGCCCUACAGAGAAGGACGCCUAAGGCCGACCCCUGGAGGUGCUCCCCUCGCGUGGACUUCCCGGUGACGGUCCCUAUUUCAAACAUUCUCCACCUCUGGCUCAGUCUCCCUGAGGUCGGCUGUCAUUUCUCCCCGAGGCUGAAGUGCUGUCACUAUACAAGGGCCCUUUGAGUCUCUUGGAGAGCUGGUAAUUGGGCUCGGAAGAGGGAAACAGGAGAACUUUCGUUAGGACAUUAUUUACCGGUUUAUUAGCCUGAAGAAUCAUGCUUUGAUGGAAAGUGCCGACAACGCGCUCAUGGAAAUGGCAUCCCCCAUCGGCAAUCCCGUGGGCCUCUCUUGGGCUCUUCGGGAUAGCUCGGCCUGCAGUUAUGAUGGAGACAUCACCUAUGAAAGCCGUUAUUCUCUAUGCCAAACCUUCCAUCAUUAUCAGGGUCUCAGAGCUUAAUUGUGUUAUAAAGUGAAUUUUGAGUCUCUGCCUUAAUUUUUCCACCAAUAGGCAAGUGGUCCAAUUGGAAAUAAGUACGGUUGACCUUUGAACAACAUGGGUUUGAACUGCACGGACCCACUUAUAAGCGGCUUUUUGUCUUCUUUUUUUUUUUUUUUUUUUUACUGGAAAAAGCUUUAUUGUUUCAUUUGGUCCACAGCUUGGGAGAGGACUCCGGGGUGGUUGAAAAGCUGCCAGUGGCUACAGAGAGAGGUGUCAAGGAGCCUUGACACCAGGGGGAUGCCAGAGGGGACUUCAAGGAUCAGAGGCUCCUACAUAUGCUCAAGGCUGAGCCUUUCCAAGAGAUACUCCACCAGCCCAGCCUGGGGGCCACCAGCCCAUGGAGGUGAGUCAGGUGGCGCCCGUCUUCUUGAUGAGUUUCACCUCCUUAUCCAGAAAGCAGUGCUCUGAAGCCACAGACGUGGGGGUCUGUGCGGGCAGACCCCUGGGUGUGCAGAUCCAAAGGGGUCUGGUUCAGUUUUCUCUAGGGCCGUGGCAGCUUCCCUGGCGUCCAAGGGUUUUCUCCACUCAUCCUGGGACCACUUUGGUGCAUCCUGGAAGAGGGCACGGCUGCCAUGCUGGUUUUGCAUCUUCAAGAGAUGCCCGGUGCCCUGAGCUUUUCUUUGGCCAAAUGGAGGAAGAAGUGGCCCAUGGGCUCCUGAGCCCCAUCCCUGAGGUCAAAGCAGAAGCCUAGAAGGAGGGGCAGGAGGCCCACACAUGUGCGUUGACCAGCUGGUCCUGGAAGCAGAGGAUGCCUGAGGAAACGUGGUUCCAAAGGGUUCGGUGGGAAAAGAGGUCGGAGGAUGGUCAGAGGUUGGAAGAAGGGGCACCAUCAAAUCAGCACAUUGCACACCUCUAAAACAUACACUUUUAUUUACGGCUGAUGCUUCAAUAAAGCCGGAAAACUAAUACACGCUCUGUUAUUUUAUUUCGUAGACACUUUCAAAAGUUAGGACAAAUAUCAUUUUAUUUUGCAAAGCAUUUGCAAACGAAAUGAAACCAUUUUGGUUUCGUGAUUGCGGUUCUAGACAUUGGCCACAAAACGGUACCAAUGGACUCGCCAAAGAGAAACUCAACCUAUUUCCAGCGAUUUCAGUACCGUUUGAAUAAUACGCGGUCCCCCAAAAUAAUACCUUAAAGGACACCAUGCCUUCAACUACAAAAAUAUCAUCAUGUAAUUGUUUUUCUUUAGGAAAUAAUAUUGUAGAGUCGCUCUGGCUGCUGUUUGCUCCUGACAGGUAUACUUACGCAAGUCUACCGUAAGAAAAAAUAAGAUUUUUUUUAAGCCAUAGAAGAAAAUUUAUUGACAUGGAAAAUGUUAACGGUGUACCUCUACGUGAAAUAUACAGGGUACAAAGCAGUAUAUACAGUUUAACACCACUUUUAUGGAAAGAGAAAUGGCCAUAUAUACAAAAUCAUGCAUAGGAAAAAACCAGAAGGAUGUACAUAGCAAAUGUUGAUAACGGUUAUCUCUAGAGAGCAGAAUUAGAGGUGAUGACGCAAUUUUUCCCAGGAAAUGUCACCUGCUCUCCGAACAGAAUCUGCUUCUAGCUAUUCUUUCUUGGGUGCGAUGAGCUUGAUAAAAUUCUUUUCAAAUGGACUCUGUUUCAUGAUACAUAUCUCCAAAUCAUACUGCUUUUCCCAUGUAAAAAGUAGAUGUUACUUACUCUUACAUACUGGCAUGUGGAGAAUAUUUGUUACUAAUACAAUAUACUAUCAAAUGUGCCACAGCAUCAGGGUGCCUGGGUGGCUCAGUCGGUUGAGCAUCCGACUUCGGCUCAGGUCAUGAUCUCGCGGUUCGUGGUUUCGAGCCCUGCAUUGGGCUCUGUGCUGAUGGCUCAGAGCCUGGAGCCUGCUUCGGAAUCUGUGUCUCCCUCUCUCUCUCUGUCCUUCCCCUGCUCGCUCUCUGUCUCUCUCUCAAAAAUAAAUAGACAUUAAAAAAAAUUUUUUUUAAAAACGCCAUAGCAUAGAUCUGGCUGUAGAAAAUUAUUGUGUGGAGGAUCUGCAAAUCCUCUAAUAGAGAGAAAUUUUAAAUAGAGAGGAAGAUGUUAUCAUUAGUUAGGAGUUCUUGGUGGUUGGCUGUAAAUAACUUAGGUUCCAGGACGGGAGACUUUGGGAUCUCUCCUUCCUGGUUAACUGACUUUAGGCAAAGGAGAUUAGCUUCUGUAGUCGGGGAAAUGUGGUUAAUAAUUUUGUAGAAAGAAGCAAAAAUAAGAUUUUUUUUUAAAUAAGGGUAAAAUGAGAUCACAGAUCGAAAGUUCUUCUAUGAAGACCUAACCAAGUGAGAGGUGAAACCGCAAGAAAGAAAUUCACAUUUGCUGUUAUAGAAAAAUUAACUCCAUUUUUCUGCGGCACCAAAUUCUUCCUGCUUUAUGUCUUUGUUCACAGGUUAGACCUGUGCCAAAAUUGUGGAAUUAUUUUAAUGUUAAUUAAUGGUCUUCAUCCUCUUUAUGUAACAGUUAGUAACACAGGACGAACUUGAGUUUUCGUGGAAUCUGACCUAAGUGUCCUAAAUAUAGGAUAGGAUAUAUAUAGGAUAUCCCAUAGGAAAACCCUACUAUUAUU